UAGGGAAUCUUCGGCAAUGGACGGAAGUCUGACCGAGCAACGCCGCGUGAGUGAAGAAGGUUUUCGGAUCGUAAAGCUCUGUUGUAAGAGAAGAACGAGUGUGAGAGUGGAAAGUUCACACUGUGACGGUAUCUUACCAGAAAGGGACGGCUAACUACGUGCCAGCAGCCGCGGUAAUACGUAGGUCCCGAGCGUUGUCCGGAUUUAUUGGGCGUAAAGCGAGCGCAGGCGGUUAGAUAAGUCUGAAGUUAAAGGCUGUGGCUUAACCAUAGUACGCUUUGGAAACUGUUUAACUUGAGUGCAAGAGGGGAGAGUGGAAUUCCAUGUGUAGCGGUGAAAUGCGUAGAUAUAUGGAGGAACACCGGUGGCGAAAGCGGCUCUCUGGCUUGUAACUGACGCUGAGGCUCGAAAGCGUGGGGAGCAAACAGGAUUAGAUACCCUGGUAGUCCACGCCGUAAACGAUGAGUGCUAGGUGUUAGACCCUUUCCGGGGUUUAGUGCCGCAGCUAACGCAUUAAGCACUCCGCCUGGGGAGUACGACCGCAAGGUU
rnacentral:rRNA from 1 species